rnacentral:tRNA from 1 species
AGGUGUAGCGCAGUUGGUAGCGCGCCUGCUUUGGGAGCAGGAUGUCGCAGGUUCGAGUCCUGUCACCU